AGUUAGUGGUGUGUGAAUUUCAAAAAUAAAAAAAGUCACAUAAGAAAGAUAUACUACAUACUAAUAUUAUUAUAAUGAGUGAGAAUGGCAUUUGGGGUGUGUUCUAAAUGGUGCUCAAUUUUAUGAACAAAAAGAACGCACUCAAAUCAUCAUCACGCGUGCAGUCAUUAGCUGGCUCAGUUUGGCUUAAUUUGAACUAUGUGAUGUAUAAAAGAAAAACUCAUAAGAAUGCUCUCAGCUUCAUUGAUGUCUAGCUGAGGGGAACCAUGUCAUUUAGACAUUUACUAGAGAAGAAUCGGGUAAGACUAUUUCAAACAUUUUGAGGAUGUGAUAUCGACUGAGGUUGUUUUAUAGGCCAUGGACUAGUAGAUUGAUUAAGUUAUGAAUUUUGGCUUUUCAUUAUGAUACAUUAAUUGGUUUGUUAGGCUUUGAAAGUUAAACAAGAUUUGCCUAAACAUUUUUUGAUUUGACAAAUUUGUUAAA